UUCCUCAUCCUUUUCCUCUUCCAACUCUUCCUCCUUAAACUUGUCCUUGUUGUCAUCCCCUUCCUCUCCCUCCACCUCCCCUUGCUCUCUGUUAAUUGUUGUCAUCUGUUGUUCAAAACAGGUAAUCUGACCUUUGACCUAUGCGUAGGCCUAUACUAAAGCAGUGAUUGGUUAAUGAUCAGUUAAGCAUUUAGUAUUUGCACGUGUAAGGAGAGGGCGUGUGACCUGGUGAAUAAGGGUAACAUUAUGAU